rnacentral:rRNA from 1 species
GAAUUUUGGACAAUGGGCGCAAGCCUGAUCCAGCCAUUCCGCGUGCAGGAUGAAGGCCCUCGGGUUGUAAACUGCUUUUGUGCGGAACGAAAAGGCUCUGGUUAAUACCCGGGGCUCAUGACGGUACCGUAAGAAUAAGCACCGGCUAACUACGUGCCAGCAGCCGCGGUAAUACGUAGGGUGCAAGCGUUAAUCGGAAUUACUGGGCGUAAAGCGUGCGCAGGCGGUGAUGUAAGACAGGUGUGAAAUCCCCGGGCUUAACCUGGGAACUGCAUUUGUGACUGCAUUGCUGGAGUGCGGCAGAGGGGGAUGGAAUUCCGCGUGUAGCAGUGAAAUGCGUAGAUAUGCGGAGGAACACCGAUGGCGAAGGCAAUCCCCUGGGCCUGCACUGACGCUCAUGCACGAAAGCGUGGGGAGCAAACAG